rfam:Canis lupus familiaris chromosome 12, whole genome shotgun sequence.
CGGGGGAGGCUGGAUUCUGGGCUGUGUCCCGGUGCCCUGUACUCCCGAUCUGCGCUGUUGGAUUCGCGCUCCCGCCCCGCAGCCCCCU